rnacentral:lncRNA from 1 species
AGACAAGCUUGGACCUAGAUCUGAUAAAUGCUUGUUCGUAGGGUACCCUAAGUAAACUAAAAGAUACUACUUCUAUCUCGUUAAAGAACAAAAGAUGUUCGUCAGCAACAGGACAGUCCUUUUAGAAAAAAAUUCCUUGAGGAAGGAACUAAUGUCACUAAAAUCGAACUUAGUGAAGUUUGUGAGGUAGAAAUACUGACACAUAUAGAAUCAAAUUUGAUUAAAAAAUCAAAUCCAGAGCCUGUAGAGGUGCCAUUAAGAAGAUUUGAUAGAGUACCGCAUCAAUCGAACAG